UACGUAGGGUGCAAGCGUUUGUCCGGAAUUAUUGGGCGUAAAGAGCUCGUAGGCGGUUUGUUGCGUCGGCUGUGAAAUCCCGAGGCUCAACCUCGGGUCUGCAGUCGAUACGAGCAAACUAGAGUGUUGCAGGGGAGACUGGAAUUCCUGGUGUAGCAGUGAAAUGCGUAGAUAUCAGGAGGAACACCGAUGGCGAAGGCAGGUCUCUGGGCUGACACUGACGCUCAUGCACGAAAGCGUGGGGAGCAAACAGG
rnacentral:rRNA from 1 species